rnacentral:rRNA from 1 species
UACGAAGGGGGCUAGCGUUGCUCGGAAUUACUGGGCGUAAAGCGCACGUAGGCGGAUCUUUAAGUCAGGGGUGAAAUCCUGGAGCUCAACUCCAGAACUGCCUUUGAUACUGAGGAUCUUGAGUUCGGGAGAGGUGAGUGGAACUGCGAGUGUAGAGGUGAAAUUCGUAGAUAUUCGCAAGAACACCAGUGGCGAAGGCGGCUCACUGGC